rfam:Picea glauca, whole genome shotgun sequence.
AUGUACAUUCCUACAACUUAGUGUUAAUGCACUGGAUCCCAUUAGAACUUCACAGUUAAGCAUGCUCGGGCUAGAGUAGUAUUGGGAUGGGUGACCGCCCGGGAAGUCUUAGUAUUUUACAUG